UGCAUUGAUCUCACUUUGAGUCAUCACUUGUUCGACAUAAAAUAAUAGAAAUAAAGUGAAACGAAGUAAAGUGUUCAUUUUAUUUUUUAUUUUUCUCAUUAUGAUGAUACUCAGUUUUCCUUAUUUAUUUCUUAAUUCAUUUUGCAGAUUCAAUUCCCCUUCCAUAUUAUUAGUAUUUUUUUAUUUUAUUUUAUUCAUUAUUUUUUAUUUUUCAGAAUGUGUUUUCUGAAUACCUCUCACUCGAUAUGAGCCUUCACAGCUCACGUUAGGCGAGAGGUCAUGAUGCAUGUCUUUAGACCGUCGGAGGAAACCAGAACACCUGGAGAAAAACCCCACUGACACGGAGAGAACAUGCAAACUCUACACUUCAUAUCGCAUGAGGGGACGGUGCUACACUUCAUGUCGCAAGAGGUGACGGUGCUACACUUCAUAUCGCACGAGGUGACGGUGCUACACUUCAUAUCGCACGGGGUGACGGUGCUACACUUCAUAUCGCACGGGGUGACGGUGCUACACUUCAUGUCGCACGAGGUGACGGUGCUACACUUCAUGUCGCAGGAGGUGACGGUGCUACACUUCAUAUCGCACGAGGUGACGGUGCUACACUUCAUAUCGCAUGAGGUGACGCUGCUACACUUCAUAUCACAUGAGGUUACCACCUCAUGUGAUAUGAAAUGAGGCAUUCUAUGCGAUUAUACCGACACACACCAUAAACCGCUACAGCCACAGCGGUGAUGCCAGCGCACCAAGCUACUCCCCGAAGAACUUUAGCAGUGCCGGGCCACCAACUUCUGGUGGGACC